AAAGUAGUUUAAAAUUAAAAACCUUAAUUUGUGGCAUUAAAACUAUCAGUUUAAAUCUGAUCUAUGGUC
rnacentral:tRNA from 1 species